rnacentral:rRNA from 1 species
GGGUGGUAAUGCCGGAUGCUCCAGUUGAUCGCAUGGUCUUCUGGGAAAGCCUUUGCGGCAUGGGAUGGGGUCGCGUCCUAUCAGCUUGAUGGCGGGGUAACGGCCCACCAUGGCUUCGACGGGUAGCCGGCCUGAGAGGGCGACCGGCCACAUUGGGACUGAGAUACGGCCCAGACUCCUACGGGAGGCAGCAGUGGGGAAUAUUGCACAAUGGGCGCAAGCCUGAUGCAGCGACGCCGCGUGAGGGAUGGAGGCCUUCGGGUUGUAAACCUCUUUUGUUAGGGAGCAAGGCAUUUUGUGUUGAGUGUACCUUUCGAAUAAGCACCGGCUAACUACGUGCCAGCAGCCGCGGUAAUACGUAGGGUGCAAGCGUUAUCCGGAAUUAUUGGGCGUAAAGGGCUCGUAGGCGGUUCGUCGCGUCCGGUGUGAAAGUCCAUCGCUUAACGGUGGAUCCGCGCCGGGUACGGGCGGGCUUGAGUGCGGUAGGGGAGACUGGAAUUCCCGGUGUAACGGUGGAAUGUGUAGAUAU